GGGGGCAAUUGGGGGGUGCUAUACAUGCAGUCGAACGAACUCUGGUAUUGAUUGGUGCUUGCAUCAUGAUUUACAUUUGAGUGAGUGGCGAACUGGUGAGUAACACGUGGGAAACCUGCCCAGAAGCGGGGGAUAACACCUGGAAACAGAUGCUAAUACCGCAUAACAACUUGGACCGCAUGGUCCGAGUUUGAAAGAUGGCUUCGGCUAUCACUUUUGGAUGGUCCCGCGGCGUAUUAGCUAGAUGGUGAGGUAACGGCUCACCAUGGCAAUGAUACGUAGCCGACCUGAGAGGGUAAUCGGCCACAUUGGGACUGAGACACGGCCCAAACUCCUACGGGAGGCAGCAGUAGGGAAUCUUCCACAAUGGACGAAAGUCUGAUGGAGCAACGCCGCGUGAGUGAAGAAGGGUUUCGGCUCGUAAAACUCUGUUGUUAAAGAAGAACAUAUCUGAGAGUAACUGUUCAGGUAUUGACGGUAUUUAACCAGAAAGCCACGGCUAACUACGUGCCAGCAGCCGCGGUAAUACGUAGGUGGCAAGCGUUGUCCGGAUUUAUUGGGCGUAAAGCGAGCGCAGGCGGUUUUUUAAGUCUGAUGUGAAAGCCUUCGGCUCAACCGAAGAAGUGCAUCGGAAACUGGGAAACUUGAGUGCAGAAGAGGACAGUGGAACUCCAUGUGUAGCGGUGAAAUGCGUAGAUAUAUGGAAGAACACCAGUGGCGAAAGCGGCUGUCUGGUCUGUAACUGACGCUUAGGCUCGAAAGUAUGGGUAGCAAACAGGAUUAGAUACCCUGGUAGUCCAUACCGUAAACGAUGAAUGCUAAGUGUUGGAGGGUUUCCGCCCUUCAGUGCUGCAGCUAACGCAUUAAGCAUUCCGCCUGGGGAGUACGGCCGCAAGGCUGAAACUCAAAGGAAUUGACGGGGGCCCGCACAAGCGGUGGAGCAUGUGGUUUAAUUCGAAGCUACGCGAAGAACCUUACCAGGUCUUGACAUACUAUGCAAAUCUAAGAGAUUAGACGUUCCCUUCGGGGACAUGGAUACAGGUGGUGCAUGGUUGUCGUCACCUCCGGUCGGGAGAUGUUGGGGUAAGUCCCGCACGGAGGGCACCCUUAUUAUCAGUUGCCGCCAUUAAAUUGGGGCCUCUUGUGGAAAAUGCCGGGGCCCAACCGGGGGGAGG
rnacentral:rRNA from 1 species